UGGGGAAUAUUGCACAAUGGGCGCAAGCCUGAUGCAGCCAUGCCGCGUGUGUGAAGCAGGCCUUCGGGUUGUAAAGCACUUUCAGCGGGGAGGAAGGCGUUAAGGUUAAUAACCUUGGCGAUUGACGUUACCCGCAGAAGAAGCACCGGCUAACUCCGUGCCAGCAGCCGCGGUAAUACGGAGGGUGCAAGCGUUAAUCGGAAUUACUGGGCGUAAAGCGCACGCAGGCGGUCUGUCAAGUCAGAUGUGAAAUCCCCGGGCUCAACCUGGGAACUGCAUCUGAUACUGGCAAGCUUGAGUCUCGUAGAGGGGGGUAGAAUUCCAGGUGUAGCGGUGAAAUGCGUAGAGAUCUGGAGGAAUACCGGUGGCGAAGGCGGCCCCCUGGACGAAGACUGACGCUCAGGUGCGAAAGCGUGGGGAGCAAACAGG
rnacentral:rRNA from 1 species